AUUUGGUUGAUCUUGCCAAUACUAUAUACUUGUCUCAAAGAUUAAGCCAUGCAAUUGUCAGAAAAUCAUGUUCAGUCGCAAGAUUGAAAAUUGUGAAUCUGAGACUCGCUCCUUAAACAAAUCCUAGUGCAUCCUUUAGUUUGAAUAUGUUGUAUAACAUGUUUAUUAAAUGGAUACCUGACCUAACUGGUCAGUUAAUACAUGAUAAAAAAGUAGUCAUCUAUUUUUAAAUUGAAUUUUGGUGACUAAUAUUGGAAGCUUUUUCGGAAGUGGAAGAUAUGCAGACCUACAGAACAGGGUUUACCUGAUAUGAGUUUUUUGAUUCUUUGGAAUCAAGAAAUUUAACUGAAGGCCUUAAGGAACAAGGAUUUAAGGAUUAGUUAGUUGGUACGGUAGUGUCCUAUCAAGACUAUAAUCCUUACGAGAAAUUAUCGUUUGAUUUCGGAGAGAGAGCCUUAAAAACCGCUAUCACAUCUAAGGAAGGCAGCAGGCGCGCAAAUUACCCAAUAUCAAUUCGAUGAGGUAGUGACAAGACGUAAUGACCUCCCACUUUUAUGAGGGUUAUCCGCAAGGAUAUUACAAUGGUCUGAAAUUAAAAUUCUCAGAGAGAAACGACUAGAGGAAAAGUCUGGUGCCAGCACCCGCGGUAAUUCCAGCUCUAGUAGUAUAUAUUAAUGUUGUUGUAUUUAAAACGUUCGUAGUUUACUUAAGUUAUUUUUUGUUAUUGUCGGUUUAUUAACUCUACUU
rnacentral:rRNA from 1 species